rnacentral:tRNA from 1 species
GCCCCUGUGGUGGAAUUGGCAGACACAGUGGACUCAAAAUCCACCGCCCGCAAGGGCAUAGCGGUUCAAGUCCGCUCAGGGGUACCA